rnacentral:rRNA from 1 species
UUCGGAGGGAUCAUUACACAAAUAUGAAGGCGGGCUGGAAUCUCUCGGGGUUACAGCCUUGCUGAAUUAUUCACCCUUGUCUUUUGCGUACUUCUUGUUUCCUUGGUGGGUUCGCCCACCACUAGGACAAACAUAAACCUUUUGUAAUUGCAAUCAGCGUCAGUAACAAAUUAAUAAUUACAACUUUCAACAACGGAUCUCUUGGUUUCUGGCAUCGAUGAAGAACGCAGCGAAAUGCGAUAAGUAGUGUGAAUUGCAGAAUUCAGUGAAUCAUCGAAUCUUUGAACGCACAUUGCGCCCUUUGGUAUUCCAAAGGGCAUGCCUGUUCGAGCGUCAUUUGUACCCUCAAGCUUUGCUUGGUGUUGGGCGUCUUGUCUCUAGCUUUGCUGGAGACUCGCCUUAAAGUAAUUGGCAGCCGGCCUACUGGUUUCGGAGCGCAGCACAAGUCGCACUCUCUAUCAGCCAAGGUCUAGCAUCCAUUAAGCCUUUUUUCAACUUUUGACCUCGGAUCAGGUAGGGAUACCCGCUGAACUUAAGCA